GAUGAAGAACGCAGCGAAAUGCGAUACGUAAUGUGAAUUGCAGAAUUCAGUGAAUCAUCGAAUCUUUGAACGCACAUUGCGCCUGCCAGCACUCUGGCAGGCAUGCCUGUUCGAGCGUCAUUUCAACCAUCAAGCCCUAGGCUUGCGUUGGAGCCCUGCGGCUGCCGCAGGCCCCUAAAAGCAGUGGCGGGCUCGCUAUCACACCGAGUGCAGUAGAUUACUCUUCGCUCAGGGCGUGUGGCGGGUUCCAGCCGUGAAACCCCUACUUCUCAAGGUCGACCUCGGAUCAGGUAGGAAUACCCGCUGAACUUAAGCAUAUCAAUAAGCGGAGGA
rnacentral:misc_RNA from 1 species